UUUUAUUAUAGGGUGUUCAUCUGAUAUGAUUCAACCCCUCUCCAAUACAGUUUUAUUAUAGGGUGUUCAUCUGAUAUGAUUCAACCCCUCUCCAAUACAGUUUUAUUAUAGGGUGUUCAUCUGAUAUGAUUCAACCCCUCUCCAAUACAGUUUUAUUAUAGGGUGUUCAUCUAAAUGAUUCAACCCCUCUUCAAUACAGUUUUAUUAUAGGGUGUUCAUCUAAAUGAUUCAACCCCUCUCCAAUACAGUUUUAUUAUAGGGUGUUCAUCUAAAUGAUUCAACCCCUCUCCAAUACAGUUUUAUUAUAGGGUGUUCAUCUGAUAUGAUUCAACCCCUCUCCAAUACAGUUUUAUUAUAGGGUGUUCAUCUGAUAUGAUUCAACCCCUCUCCAAUACAGUUUUAUUAUAGGGUGUUCAUCUAAAUGAUUCAACCCCUCUCCAAUACAGUUUUAUUAUAGGGUGUUAAUCUGAUAUGAUUCAACCCCUCUCCAAUACUGCCAUGGGUGUCUCAGUGCAGUCCAGCCUAAGCAUAGCAUCAGUAGAGUCCUGCUCUACGGUUAAACUACACUAUAUUACAGACAUGCAUGAAGCAAAAAGGAUAAUCACACUUACGAUGAUUAACCAAUGACAGCAAACAUGUACCGUAAAGCCACGCCUCCCCCCCAAUGAUAGCAAACAUGUACCGUAAAGCCACGCCUCCCCCAAUGACAGCAAACAUGUACCGUAAAGCCACGCCCCCCCAAUGAUAGCAAACAUGUACCGUAAAGCCACGCCUCCCCCCUCCCCCAGCUACCACAUUUACAUGCCAUUCCUGUGCAUGUUAACCUGGUUCACACUAUCGGAAAAAAACAAGCUAAGCCCUUCCUUAGCUGAACUAGGCUGGUCUAGGGUGGUCUGGUUAAAUAUCUAGCAGCUGAACUAGGCUGGUCUAGGGUGGUCUGGUUAAACAUCUACCAGCUGAACUAGGCUGGUCUAGGGUGGUCUGGUUAAACAUCUACCAGCUGAACUAGGCUGGUCUAGGGUGGUCUGGUUAAACAUCUACCAGCUGAACUAGGUUGGUGUAGGGUGGUCUGGUUAAACAUCUACCAGCUGGACUAGGUUGGUGUAGGGUGGUCUGGUUAAACAUCUACCAGCUGGACUAGGUUGGUGUAGGGUGGUCUGGUUGAACAUCUACCAGACCCAUGUUCUACCAGAUUAGUCCUCCUAUAGUACCAUGUUCUACCAGAUUAGUCCUCCUAUAGUACCGUGUUCUACCAGAUUAGUCCUCCUAUAGAACCAUGUUCUACCAGGUUAGUCCUCCUAUUGUACCAUGUUCUACCAGAUUAGUCCUCCUAUAGUACCAUGUUCUACCAGAUUAGUCUUCCUAUAGUACCAUGUUCUACCAGAUUAGUCCUCCUAUAGUACCAUGUCCUACCAGAUUAGUCCUCCUAUAGUACCAUGUUCUACCAGAUUAGUCCUCCUACAGUACCAUGUUAUACCAGAUUAGUCCUCCUAUAGUACCAGACCCCAUGUUCUACCAGAUUAGUCCUCCUAUAGUACCAUGUUCUACCAGAUUAGUCCUCCUAUCGUACCAUGUUCUACCCAGAUUAGUCCUCCUAUUGUACCAUGUUCUACCCAGAUUAGUCCUCUUAUAGAACCAGACCCCAUGGUCUACCAGAUUAGUCCUCCUAUAGUACCAUGUUCUACCAGAUUAGUCCUCCUAUUGUACCAUGUUCUACCAGAUUAGUCCUCCUAUAGUACCAUGUUCUACCCAGAUUAGUCCUCCUAUAGAACCAUGUUCUACCAGAUUAGUCCUCCUAUAGUACCAUGUUCUACCAGAUUAGUCCUCCUAUAGUACCAGACCCCAUGUUCUACCAGAUUAGUCCUCCUUUAGAACCAUGUUCUACCAGAUUAGUCUUCCUAUAGUACAAUGUUCUACCAGAUUAGUCCUCCUAUAGUACCAUGUUCUACCAGAUUAGUCCUCCUAUAGUACCAGACCCCAUGUUCUACCAGAUUAGUCCUCCUAUAGUACCAUGUUCUACCAGAUUAGUCCUCCUAUAGAACCAUGUUCUACCAGAUUAGUCCUCCUAGGUAUUGGAUGAAAUAAAAACCAUAUCUAGUAUGUAUGGGGCUGUGUGGAAACAGUGGAUUAUCUAGUAUGUAUGGUGCUGUGUGGAAACAGUGGAUUACCUAGUAUGUAUGGUGCUGUGUGGAAAAACGGGAUUAUCUAGUAUGUAUGGUGCUGUGUGGAAACAGGGGAUUAUCUAGUAUGUAUGGUGCUGUGUGGAAACAGGGGAUUAUCUAGUGUGUAUGGUGCUGUGUGGAAACUGUAGGUUAUCUAGUAUGUAUGGUGCUGUGUGGAAACAGUGGAUUACCUAGUAUGUAUGGUGCUGUGUGGAAACAGGGAUUAUCUAGUAUGUAUGGUGCUGUGUGGAAACAGGGGAUUAUCUAGUAUGUAUGGUGCUGUGUGGAAACAGUGGAUUAUCUAGUAUGUAUGGUGCUGUGUGGAAACAGGGAUUAUCUAGUAUGUAUGGUGCUGUGUGGAAACAGUGGAUUAUCUAGUAUGUAUGGUGCUGUGUGGAAACUGUGGGUUAUCUAGUAUGUAUGGUGCUGUGUGGAAACAGUGGAUUAUCUAGUAUGUAUGGUGCUGUGUGGAAACAGUGGAUUAUCUAGUGUGUAUGGUGCUGUGUGGAAACAGUGGAUUAUCUAGUAUGUAUGGUGCUGUGUGGAAACAGUGGAUUAUCUAGUAUGUAUGGUGCUGUGUGGAAACAGUGGAUUAUCUAGUAUGUAUGGUGCUGUGUGGAAACAGUGGAUUAUCUAGUGUGUAUGGUGCUGUGUGGAAACAGUGGAUUAUCUAGUGUGUAUGGUGCUGUGUGGAAACUGUGAGUCGUAGGAGCCUUUCAGUUGAAGAAAGAAUCCAUAAUGCCAGAUCUAGAUUUACCUCAAUUGUCCUGCCAGAUUAUGAAUUUAUUUAAAUGUUUAUCUUUAAAAAAAAAAAUAUUAACAUCAGGACAUCAGGGUACUCAGGCAGACGGGAUAGUUCUUCCUCAUUUGAUAAUGUUUUUAGAGUACAGUUGGCCAAAGCUCGAGACAGAUCUGUUCUUUUUAACUUGUAAACCAAUCAAGGGACCAAAGGUAGUGUUUUUUUUUUUUUAGAGCCUAUGUUUUGAUAAGCGUUUUGGCUACGUGCACAAAAGGUGGUGUGACGAUGACUAUGUCACAGUCCCAAAUGGCACCCUAUUCCCUACAAAGUGCACUACUUUUAGUGCACUAUAUAGGGGAUAGGGUGCCACCUGGGAUACAGAUCCUAUGCUAGAAGACACUCCCAAUAUACUGUAUAGUCCAAUAUGUGGAAAAAGCACCGUUUCUGAGGGUAGAAUUCACAUCUUUGGAUAACUUUUCAAAACAAACGAUGUGGUACCAUAUGUCAGCGUAUAUACUGUGUUGAUCAUGACAUCAUGAUGAUUGACAUGCGAUAUGGGGGGGGGGACCAAUGAGAAAAGGUUUAGUUGGAAGCUUUUGGGAUUUGUUAACCAUUUAUACCACAACAUGUUUUCCUGCGAUGGGGAUGAGUUGAUGUGUCUGUUUCGUUUAUGAAGUCGGAAAUAUGUAUAAAUAUAAUUUAUAUAUAUAUAUAUAUAUAUAUAUAUAUAUAUAUAUAUAUAUAUAUUUGAUUUCUUAAAAACCUUAACCCAAUGCUUAAUUAUAUAAAUCACCUACGUUGGUCCUACUGACACUGACAUUUGUAUUUUCUUAUCAAGGUUGUGAGAAAAAAUAAAAUAUAUGUAUUAUAUAUUUUUUUGUCUCUACACUUCUAUAACUGUAUCUUAUUCCAUACCAGAAUGAAGCGAUGUAUUGGAUAGCUCUGGUCCACGGUGUUACCACACGUCCCUCCAUGAAGACAUAUAUAUAUAUAAUGCCCUGGACCAGAGCUAUGUAUUGGAUAGCUCUGGUCCACGGUGUUACCACACGUCCCUCCAUGAAGACAUAUAUAUAUAUAUAUAAUGCCCUGGACCAGAGCUAUGUAUUGGAUAGCUCUGGUCCACGGUGGUACCACACGUCCCUCCAUGAAGACAUAUAUAUAUAUAUAAUGCCCUGGACCAGAGCUAUGUAUUGGAUAGCUCUGGUCCACGGUGUUACCACACGUCCUUCCAUGAAGACAUAUAUAUAAUGCCCUGGACCAGAGCUACGUAUUGGAUAGCUCUGGUCCACGGUGUUACCACACGUCCUUCCAUGAAGACAUAUAUAUAUAUAAUGCCCUGGACCAGAGCUAUGGUUAUGGGCCCGAUAGGGCCCAGGUCAACAGUAGUGCACUAUGUAGGGAAUAGGAUGCCGUUUGAGAUACAUCCUAUGUCUUUUAAACUAAAAGCAAUGAUUUAUACAGUACAAAGUGUUAUUGCGAUUUUAACUACUGAUAUGUAAAUUACCUGCUAUGAGUGCACAAGUCAUUUAAUAAAUUAUUAAAAUGUUAUUGAACCUAAAUAAGGUGUUUAAAUAUAUUUUUUUAUAUUCGUUGCAUAAAAGAUUCUGUUCUGUUAGAAACACGUCAUUACGAAGCUUCCUUCAUUUUGGUCAUGUCUCGAUUGGCACCCUAUUCCCUUUAUAGUGCACUACUUUGGACCAGGACCUGCAUAGAGAAUAGGGUGCCAGGGCCCAUAGGGUUCUGAUCUAAAGUAGUGCACUAUAUAGGGAAUAGGGUGCCAGGGGCCAUAGGGAUCUGGUCUAAAGUAGUGCACUAUAUAGGGAA
ensembl:lncRNA